rnacentral:sRNA from 1 species
CGUGCGGAGCCCUGUAGCGGAGCGGCUGGGGGGCUGCUCUGUCCCCCUCCUUGCGCGCUGCCGCCUCAGCCCACCCAGAGGCCGGGGUGGGAGGGCGAGUGCUCAGCUUCCCGGGUUAGGAGCCGGAAAAUUCAAAUCCGAAAUAUUCCACCCCAGCUCCGAUGGGAAGUACUGGACAGCCUGCUGGCUCAGUAUGGUACAGUAGAGAACUGUGAGCAAGUGAACACCGAGAGUGAGACGGCAGUGGUGAAUGUCACCUAUUCCAACCGGGAGCAGACCAGGCACUCAUUAGAAGAGUUCCUCAAUUGCUGCUUCUCCACCCGACACGAUGGCGUUCAACCUGGCAGAUUAAUUUAACAACUCUCUCUCUGAUGGGUUGCCCUGAAAUUUGAAAAACAGUGCCUUGGGUCGGGGGCGAUGGCUCACACCUGUAAUCCCAGCAUUUUGGGAGGCCGAGGCGGGCGAAUCACCUGAGGUCGGGAGUUCGAGACCAGCCUGACCAACAUGGAGAAACCCCAUCUCUACUAAAAUUACAAAAUUAGCGGGGCAUGGUGGCGCAUGCCUGUAAUCCC